rnacentral:lncRNA from 1 species
UGGGAGGGGCUGAGCCAUGGGGCUGUCACGCCAGGCUCACCAAGCUCACCCCUGUCUCUGCAGGGCCCCCCCGGACUUGUGGAUGGGGCAGUGCCCCGAGGGGAGCCAGGCCCCCCGGUGAGUCCGGCCCCUGGGCCAGCGAAGGGGAGCGGGGCCGCGGGCAGCCGGGUGCCCCCAGGGGCUGAGCUGUCCCCUCGCUGCUCUCUUGUAGGGUCUGCCUGGGGACCCCGGCCCGCGGGGGCCUGCUGGCACCCCUGGACCCAAGGGCGAGAAGGGUGACGGUGAGGACGGUUUGCCAGGGCCACCCGGCCGCCCAGGGGACCCAGGGGACCGGGGCCCGCGGGGACUGCCCGGGGAGCAGGGCAGGAAGGGAGACCGCGGGGCGCCAGGCGAGCUGGGAGAGACGGGCGAGAAGGGGGACCGUGGCGCACCGGGUCCUGAGGGCGAGAAGGGCGAAGUGGGAGCCCCAGGACGGCCGGGGCCAUCGGGCAGAGAG